GUCGAACGGUAACAGGUCUUCGGAUGCUGACGAGUGGCGAACGGGUGAGUAAUACAUCGGAACGUGCCCGAGAGUGGGGGAUAACGAAGCGAAAGCUUUGCUAAUACCGCAUACGAUCUCAGGAUGAAAGCAGGGGACCGCAAGGCCUUGCGCUCACGGAGCGGCCGAUGGCAGAUUAGGUAGUUGGUGGGAUAAAAGCUUACCAAGCCGACGAUCUGUAGCUGGUCUGAGAGGACGACCAGCCACACUGGGACUGAGACACGGCCCAGACUCCUACGGGAGGCAGCAGUGGGGAAUUUUGGACAAUGGGCGCAAGCCUGAUCCAGCCAUGCCGCGUGCAGGAUGAAGGCCUUCGGGUUGUAAACC
rnacentral:rRNA from 1 species